UACGUAGGGUGCAAGCGUUAAUCGGAAUACUGGGCGUAAAGCGUGCGCAGGCGGUUGUGCAAGACAGAUGUGAAAUCCCCGGGCUCAACCUGGGAACUGCAUUUGUGACUGCACGGCUGGAGUGCGGCAGAGGGGGAUGGAAUUCCGCGUGUAGCAGUGAAAUGCGUAGAUAUGCGGAGGAACACCGAUGGCGAAGGCAAUCCCCUGGGCCUGCACUGACGCUCAUGCACGAAAGCGUGGGGAGCAAACAGG
rnacentral:rRNA from 1 species